UACAGAGGUCCCGAGCGUUGUUCGGAUUCAUUGGGCGUAAAGGGUGCGUAGGCGGCGGGGCAAGUCUGAUGUGAAAUCCCGGGGCUCAACCCCGGAACUGCAUUGGAUACUGCCUUGCUCGAGUACUGGAGAGGGAACUGGAAUUUACGGUGUAGCGGUGAAAUGCGCAGAUAUCAGGAGGAACACCGGUGGCGAAGGCGGGUCUCUGGGCCGAUACUGACGCUGAGGAGCGAAAGCGUGGGGAGCGAACAGG
rnacentral:rRNA from 1 species